rnacentral:pre_miRNA from 1 species
AUGAAAAGUAGACGUUGAGACAAUCGCGAGGUAGACGCGAUUGUCACAACGUCUACUUUUGGCUUACCUCGCGAUUGUCUCAACGUCUACUUUUGGUCU